CCAAACACGUUACCACUAGAGGGUUUACGCGCUGAACUUAAGCAUAUUACUAAGCGUAGGAAAAGAAACUAACUAGGAUGCUCUGUUAGUGGCGAAUGAAAGAGCGAAACUCAAUAUGUAAAUUUGUUCUCUAAGUUCUGAAUUGUAGCUUCAAGAAUAAACUCCAGAAGAAUGUUGGGGGCAUUCUCCCUGAAAAGGGAAGUCUGAGAGGGUUAUAAUCCCGUUCCACACCCUAAUCAUUUUUCGUUCAGAUUUAUCUCAUAGAGUCACGUCCCUUGCUCCUGGUGCGUUAUGUAGGUGGCAAUUUCCAUCUAAAGUUAAUUAUUCCCGGCAGUCCGAUAGUGAACAAGUACCCUGAGGGAAAAGUGAAAAGUACUCUGAAAAGAGAGUGAAAAUGGCCAUCAACCAUGGGGGAUGAAUUGAUCAAGAGGCAGCAGAGACUAUUGUUAGCUUCGUAAGAAGCACAAUUGCAUCAUUGUGGUGAUUCGGAGGGCUUGUUGCUUAAUCGCUGUCUUGCCUAACGAAUUGGUUGGUUCGGAUUACUAGUUUUCGUUCCAUUCCACAUAGUCUGCCACUUGCUUAUCCC
rnacentral:rRNA from 1 species